rnacentral:rRNA from 1 species
UACGUAGGCAGCGAGCGUUGUUCGGAGUUACUGGGCGUAAAGGGUGUGUAGGCGGUUGUUUAAGUUUGGUGUGAAAGUCUCCCGGCUCAACUGGGAGGGUGCGCCGAAUACUGAAUGACUUGGAGUGCGGGAGAGGAAAGUGGAAUUCCUGGUGUAGCGGUGAAAUGCGUAGAUAUCAGGAGGAACACCGGUGGUGUAGACGGCUUUCUGGACCGUAACUGACGCUGAGACACGAAGCGUGGGUAGCAAACAGG